GAUGUAGCCUUAAGGCCAUUUUAUAGUUGUACGUAAAAUCGACGGUGUAGCCCCGCAGACCCCUCUGCGUCUAUGCCGGACCCUACGCCGGACCCUACGCCGGACCCUACGCCGGACCCUACGCCGUAGCCUGACGCGCACCUCUUGAAAAAUCUAACUACACAUCAUAGCAACAC